AUUGAACGCUGGCGGCAGGCUUAACACAUGCAAGUCGAACGGAGUGGCGGACGGGUGAGUAAUGUCUGGGAAACUGCCUGAUGGAGGGGGAUAACUACUGGAAACGGUAGCUAAUACCGCAUACUAUCAGAUGAGCCUAGGUCGGAUUAGCUAGUUGGUGGGGUAAUGGCCUACCAAGGCGACGAUCCGUAACUGGUCUGAGAGGAUGAUGAGACACACUGGAACUGAGACACGGUCCAGACUCCUACGGGAGGCAGCAGUGGGGAAUAUUGGCCAAUGGGCGAAAGCCUGAUCCAGCCAUGCCGCGUGUGUGAAGAAGGUCUUCGGAUUGUAAAGCACUUUCAGUUGUGAGGCGUUACCAACAGAAUAAGCACCGGCUAACUUCGUGCCAGCAGCCGCGGUAAUUC
rnacentral:rRNA from 1 species